UACGUAGGUGGCGAGCGUUGUCCGGAUUUACUGGGCGUAAAGAGCGCGCAGGCGGUCGGAUCAGUCGAAUGUGAAAGCCCCCGGCUUAACUGGGGAGGGUCAUUCGAUACUGUUCGACUCGAAGGCAGGAGAGGGAAGUGGAAUUCCCGGUGUAGUGGUGAAAUGCGUAGAUAUCUGGAGGAAUACCGGUGGCGAAGGCGGUGGGCUGGGCCGGAACUGACGCUGAGGAGCGAAAGCGUGGGGAGCGAACAGG
rnacentral:rRNA from 1 species